GUGAUGGGUAUCUCAGUUGUUAGAGCAUGAGAUUCUUAAUCUCAGGAUUGUGGGUUCGAGCAAAAGACCCCUGCAUUGCA